UCUCCUACGGGAGGCAGCAGUGGGGAAUAUUGGACAAUGGGCGCAAGCCUGAUCCAGCCAUGCCGCGUGGGUGAAGAAGGCCUUAGGGUUGUAAACCCCUUUCAGCGGGGAAGAUAAUGACGGUACCCGCAGAAGAAGCCCCGGCUAACUCCGUGCCAGCAGCCGCGGUAAUACGGAGGGGGCUAGCGUUGUUCGGAAUUACUGGGCGUAAAGCGCGCGUAGGCGGACCUGCAAGUCGGGGGUGAAAGCCCGAGGCUCAACCUCGGAACUGCCUUCGAUACUGCGGGUCUCGAGUCCGGGAGAGGUGAGUGGAAUUCCUAGUGUAGAGGUGAAAUUCGUAGAUAUUAGGAAGAACACCAGUGGCGAAGGCGGCUCACUGGCCCGGUACUGACGCUGAGGCGCGAAAGCGUGGGGAGCAAACAGGAUUAGAUACCCGAGUAGUCG
rnacentral:rRNA from 1 species